GCCGGGCGUGGUGGUGCAUGCCUGUAAUCCCGGCUACCUGGAAGGCUGAGGCAGGAGAAUCGCUUGAACCUGGGAGGCUGCAAUGAGUCGAGAUCGCGCCACUGCACUCCAGUCUGGGACAGAGUGAGCCUCCAUCUCAAAAAAAAAAAAAAAAAAAAAAAAGAGUCUCACUCUGUUUGCACUCCAGUCUGGGACAGAGUGAGCCUCCGUCUCAAAAAAAAAAAAAAAAAAAAAAGAGUCUCGCUCUGUCCCAGGCUGGAGUGCAGUGGUAUGAUCUCAGCUCAUUGCAGCGUCCACCUCCUGGGUUCAAGUGAUUCUCCUGCCUCAG
rnacentral:sRNA from 1 species